UUUUUUUCCCUUAUUUCUUCUUCCUCUGCUUUGCUUUAGCUGCUGCUUCUUCUUCUCCCCCCUUUUGGUUCCCCCUCUCUUGCUUUAUUUCUUCUGAUGUUUUCUCUCUCUCUCUCUCUCUCUCUCUCUCUCUCUCUCUUGCUCUCUUCAAAAUCCCACAACAGUGUUUGGAGUUGGAGGCUUUUGCUCUGUUGGGUUUUUUUUUUUUUUUUUUUUUUUGCCAAUAACUCAAAGGGCCGAAAGAUUCAUUACAGACACAGUAAAUAAGUACAUUUUAAAUUCGUAUUUCAUAACUUGGUUGCUUAAUUCUACUGCCACUGUUCAUCGGCCUCUCCUACGAAACAGCAAGGGUAUAUCACUAUGGAAGAACUAGAGCAAGUCCUCCACGAAUACGGCUUGCAUGGUGAAUUUUAAUCUUUCCAGGUACAACCAUAUUUCACUCCCUCUGAUCUUUGAGAGGAUAAACACUGUUUGACUGAUCGCACAAGAUUGGUUCCUGUGACCACUGCUCAGCUUCAUGUACAAAUAUGACUAGCGGGUCAAGUUCCAUAAGGAGGUGGAAGCAGAAGAAGAAUUGGCGUCACCCUUCAGUUUUUCAACCAAAAGGAGUACUAUGAAUUGGGACCCAACAAUCCACCAUAUGCUGGCAAGUUCUACGACUUUUGUGGGGCUGAGGAUCCUGAGGCAGCCAGCUGCACUACCAGUUUCCAUGUUUCUAUGAUGACGAUUGAUCCAUGUAAUAUCUCUCUUUUAAGAUUCAUCAUUUCAUUCAGUCUUGCUCUUGCACUCUAACCAAGGUUCUGUAUCUCCAAUAAUCUCAUCUCUUUUAUAGAAACAUGAAGUUGAUGCGUAAUUGGGUUUUUUUUCUUUCCUUGAGGUCUCUGUUUGUUUUCAUUACUGUAUUGAUGUUUUCUGCCGUUGUUUAUACAAUUCUAAGAGGAGAGAGAUUAAUGGCAUGAGGGUAAAAAAAACAAGGGAAGGAGGGAAAGAUGAGGAAUGCACGGGUUGGCCUGAGUUUUAUUUAAUUGGUUUGGGAUUUUGUUUAUGUUUGGGAUUCUUUUCCCUAAUUAAUAUUUUUUUUGAAUUCAUAUAGAAUUUUGUUUAUGUUUGGGGUUGUCAUGUUCGAGUAUUUAAUUUGGUAUUUAGUAGUUUACGUUACAGUUGUCGGUUUUACAAGCGAAAAUGCUUUUUCUGAUAUAUGUGCAAAUGUUAACACUUUGUAGAUUUUCAGUUUUUAAACAAUAAGAUAAUGUAACCGUUUAGACUCCAGAGUGCUUUGUCAUUAAGGUAAAUGAUUUUCGUUUUUUGCUUUGUGCCUUUUCUGAUUCAUGUUUUAACACGUAUUGAAUAAUUUCCAAAUUAACGACUGGUUCUUGCAGCUGCAUGAAGGGACGGACUAUUCAAGCUUUGCAAGUUAAUUCAAGGGCCUUAAUCACUAUAUAAGGUGAGAAAGGGAUCAUCGAUCUGAAAUGAGCUUUUUAUGUCAGGAUGACACACCUAUUGGGGCAAUGUUGGGAUGUUUAGGCUUGGGUGGAGACGUGGACUUACGGAAGAGGUGAAGUAGCUUAGCUCUCUGUCAUUAACUUUAUCUUUUCUAUGCAUCUCUACAAUCUUACAAUGCUCUUUUAUUAAAGUGCAAGAUGUUGGGACCGGUUACUGGAAUACGAGAUUUGGAACAAAAGUGGUUGACAAUACAAGAGUCGAAACCAAGUGUGAAAUUCACAUUGAAAAUGACAGGUCAAAAUGCUAAUCAUAUUCUGAAAAAUGUUGGGUUUCCUGAUGAGUACUCUGGCCGAAUUCAAGAGGCUAAUUUAGUGAUUUGCAGUUAAUUUUGUAAAUUCAUUGAAUGAAGUCAUUUGUUAUUUAGCUUAUCUUGUGUUUAGUUUGGUUUUAGGAGAGGGUUGCGCAUGAUCUAUAGAAUCACAAUUAAGGGUCAGUUUUUCCAACAAUUUUUCUUUUUCUUUUUGCUUCAUGUUUGUGCAUGUUUGGUCUCUGAGAUUUUGUUUUUAGUCACUGUUGAUUUGUAGUUUAUGUCUCCCUUUGGCUACAUAUUGACACAAGUUUAUUCUCGGCA